UUCCCAGUGGUCGGGUGAUUAAGACUCUGUGCUCCCAAUGCAGGGGUCCAGGUUCAAUCCCUGGUCAGGGAA
rnacentral:tRNA from 1 species